AUUGAACGCUGGCGGAAUGCUUUACACAUGCAAGUCGAACGGCAGCACGGGGCAACCUGGUGGCGAGUGGCGAACGGGUGAGUAAUACAUCGGAACGUGCCCAAUCGUGGGGGAUAACGUAGCGAAAGUUACGCUAAUACCGCAUACGAUCUACGGAUGAAAGCGGGGGAUCGCAAGACCUCGCGCGAUUGGAGCGGCCGAUGUCAGAUUAGGUAGUUGGUGGGAUAAAGGCUCACCAAGCCAACGAUCUGUAGCUGGUCUGAGAGGACGACCAGCCACACUGGGACGGAGACACGGCCCAGACUCCUACGGGAGGCAGCAGUGGUGAAUUUUGGACAAUGGGCGCAAGCCUGAUCCAGCCAUUCCGCGUGCAGGAUGAAGGCCUUCGGGUUGUAAACUGCUUUUGUACGGAACGAAACGGUUCUCUCUAAUACAGGGGGCUAAUGACGGUACCGUAAGAAUAAGCACCGGCUAACUACGUGCCAGCCGCCGCAGUAAUAC
rnacentral:rRNA from 1 species